rnacentral:rRNA from 1 species
CGGGGUGAGUAAUGCUUGGGAAUCUAGCUUAUGAGGGGGAGUAACUACGGGAAACUGUAGCUAAUACCGCGUAAUAUCGAAAGAUUAAAGUGUGGGACCUUCGGGCCACAUGCCAUAGGAUGAGCCCAAGUGGGAUUAGGUAGUUGGUGAGGUAAGGGCUCACCAAGCUGACGAUCUCUAGCUGGUCUGAGAGGAUGACCAGCCACACUGGGACUGAGACACGGCCCAG